UACGUAGGGGGCAAGCGUUGUCCGGAAUCAUUGGGCGUAAAGAGCGUGUAGGCGGCCCGGUAAGUCCGCUGUGAAAGUCCAGGGCUCAACCCUGGGAUGCCGGUGGAUACUGUCGGGCUCGAGUCCGGAAGAGGAGUGUGGAAUUCCUGGUGUAGCGGUGAAAUGCGCAGAUAUCAGGAGGAACACCAAUGGCGAAGGCGGGUCUCUGGGCAGUAACUGACGCUGAGGAGCGAAAGCGUGGGGAGCGAACAGG
rnacentral:rRNA from 1 species